UAAAAUAUCCUCUUAAACUAUUUUAAUUCCAAAAUUACCCCUCUCAUUUUAAACAAAAUCAACUCUCUGCAUCCCCUCAUCUCUCUUUACUCUCAAUUCUCAACCGCCGUCAGCCACUCAACCGCGCCACGCUGCCACCGGUCGUAAUUCUCGGCCGUCAAUCGGGUCUUGUCGGUGGUCACUUUCUCGCAGCACAGUUGCAGUCGACCUUCACUCUCGUCUUCUUCGGGUUAUAUUUAACGGUUUGUCCUUUUUUAUUUCUUUCGUUCUUGCUUCUCUUGGCUUUCUUUC
rnacentral:lncRNA from 1 species